AUUGAACGCUGGCGGCAUGCUUUACACAUGCAAGUCGAACGGUAACAGGCCGCAAGGUGCUGACGAGUGGCGAACGGGUGAGUAAUGCAUCGGAACGUGCCCAGUCGAGGGGGAUAACGCAGCGAAAGCUGUGCUAAUACAGCAUACGAUCUAUGGAUGAAAGCGGGGGACCGUAAGGCCUCGAGCGAUUGGAGCGGCCGAUGUCAGAUUAGGUAGUUGGUGGGGUAAAGGAUCACAAAGCCAACGAGCUGUAGCUGGUCUGAGAGGACGACCGGCCAAGCUUGAACGGAGACACGUCCCAGACUCCUCCGGGAGGUAGCAGUGGGAAAUUUUGGACAAUGGGCGAAAGCCUGAUCCAGAAAUGCCGCGGGCAGGAAGAAGGCCUUCGGGUUGUAAACUGCUUUUGUACGGAACGAAACGGCGAGCUCUAAUACAGUUUGUUAAUGACGGUACCGUAAGAAUAAGCACCGGCUAACUACGUGCCAGCCGCCGCGGUAA
rnacentral:rRNA from 1 species